AUGGAAAUCUCUAUAAUUUUUAGAUAGUAUAGGGGCGGAUGUAGCCAAGUGGAUCAAGGCAGUGGAUUUGUGAAU
rnacentral:tRNA from 1 species